rnacentral:rRNA from 1 species
GGAUGAAUAUUGGUCAAUGGGCGUUAGCCUGAACCAGCCAAGUAGCGUGCGGGAUGAAGGCCCUCCGGGUCGUAAACCGCUUUUAGACGGGGAUAAAAGGGCGUACGUGUACGCCGUAUUGCAUGUACCGUCAGAAAAACGGACCGGCUAAUUCCGUGCCAGCAGCCGCGGUAAUACGGAAGGUCCGGGCGUUGUCCGGAUUUAUUGGGUUUAAAGGGAGCGUAGGCGGACUUUCAAGUCAGUGGUAAAAUCGUGUGGCUCAACCAUACCUCGCCAUUGAAACUGGAAGUCUGGAGUGCACACGGGGGUGCCGGAAUUCAUGGUGUAGCGGUGAAAUGCUUAGAUAUCAUGAAGAACUCCGAUCGCGAAGGCAAGUGCCCGGGGUGCAACUGACGCUGAGGCUCGAAGGUGCGGGUAUCGAACAGGAUUAGAUACC